rnacentral:lncRNA from 1 species
AGGCUAGUUACUGUGCCAGGAGAACAUGUCCAACUGCCUCUUAAUAACAGGAUGAUAAAGAGAAGGCCAGUCUUACCUGGGAGAUGUCCUUUAAUAGAAAGGACAGAUUUAUAAAACAGAUAAAAAAGAGAAAAUAUGCACUUGAAGAGCCUGGGUUUGUUCAAGUACAAGCAUGGAGAGCCUGAGUGAUCUUCACAUUCAGAUCACAACUUUGCUGCAAAGGAAGGUCACUUUUGCUUGUGUUCUGGGUCAGCUUUUCCUCUUUCGUCCCCUUGAG